rnacentral:rRNA from 1 species
UACGGAGGGAGCUAGCGUUGUUCGGAAUUACUGGGCGUAAAGCGCGCGUAGGCGGCUUUGUAAGUUAGAGGUGAAAGCCCGGAGCUCAACUCCGGAACUGCCUUUAAAACUGCAUCGCUUGAAUCCAGGAGAGGUGAGUGGAAUUCCGAGUGUAGAGGUGAAAUUCGUAGAUAUUCGGAAGAACACCAGUGGCGAAGGCGACAUCCUGGACCGGUAUUGACGCUGAGGCGCGAAAGCCAGGGGAGCAAAGCGGG